CCAAGACUGUUCAAAUUCAUUUUUCAACUUGUGAGGCAUUUGAUUUUGGCUACACGUAUUUACUAAAUCCUGUUUUGAUUCCCUGCAGAUUAUGAUGAAAGACCAAUUUGCAAAUUAUAUGAUCCAGAAGGUUAUUGAUAUAUGUUCUUAAAAUCAGCGAGCAAUCUUGCUUUCUCGCCUCAGAAUUCAUGCUCAUGCUUUGAAGAAAUACACUUAUGGAAAACACAUUGUGGCUCGGUUAGAACAACAAUUUGGAGAGAAUCAAACCCCCAGAUCAGGAAGACUAUAUACA